GCUGAUCAUCCAUGCCGCGUGCAGGAUUAGGCCCUAUGGGUUGUAAACUGCUUUUAGUAGGGAAAAAACCUCGUUCGUGAACGAGGCUGAUGGUACCUACAGAAUAAGGAUCGGCUAACUCCGUGCCAGCAGCCGCGGUAAUACGGAGGAUCCAAGCGUUAUCCGGAUUUAUUGGGUUUAAAGGGUGCGUAGGUGGAUUAAUAAGUCAGUGGUGAAAGCCUGCAGCUUAACUGUAGAACUGCCAUUGAUACUGUUAGUCUUGAAUGUAGUUGAGGUGGGCGGAAUAUGACAUGUAGCGGUGAAAUGCUUAGAUAUGUCAUAGAACACCGAUUGCGAAGGCAGCUCACUAAGCUAUAAUUGACACUGAGGCACGAAAGCGUGGGGAGCAAACAGGAUUAGAUACCCUGGUAGUCCACGCCCUAAACUAUGAUUACUCGAUGUUGGCGAUACACUGUCAGCGUCUAAGCGAAAGCGUUAAGUAAUCCACCUGGGGAGUACGCCCGCAAGGGUGAAACUCAAAGGAAUUGACGGGGGCCCGCACAAGCGGAGGAGCAUGUGGUUUAAUUCGAUGAUACGCGAGGAAACUUACCUGGNGCUUGAAAGUAGUGAAUAUCUGUGAA
rnacentral:rRNA from 1 species